CGUAACAAGGUCUCCGUAGGUGAACCUGCGGAGGGAUCAUUACACAAUAACAAGGCGGGCUGGACACCCCCAGCCGGGCACUGCUUCACGGCGUGCGCGGCUGGGCCGGCCCUGCUGAAUUAUUCACCCGUGUCUUUUGCGUACUUCUUGUUUCCUGGGUGGGCUCGCCCGCCAUCAGGACCAACCACAAACCUUUUGCAAUAGCAAUCAGCGUCAGUAACAACGUAAUUAAUUACAACUUUCAACAACGGAUCUCUUGGUUCUGGCAUCGAUGAAGAACGCAGCGAAAUGCGAUACGUAGUGUGAAUUGCAGAAUUCAGUGAAUCAUCGAAUCUUUGGACGCACAUUGCGCCCUUUGGUAUUCCAAAGGGCAUGCCUGUUCGAGCGUCAUUUGUACCCUCAAGCUUUGCUUGGUGUUGGGCGUCUUUUGUCUCCAGUUCGCUGGAGACUCGCCUUAAAGUCAUUGGCAGCCGGCCUACUGGUUUCGGAGCGCAGCACAAGUCGCGCUCUUUGCCAGCCAAGGUCAGCGUCCAGCAAGCCUUUUUUUUUCAACCUUUGACCUCGGAUCAGGUAGGGAUACCCGCUGAACUUAAGCAUAUCA
rnacentral:rRNA from 1 species